rnacentral:rRNA from 1 species
GACGAACGCUGGCGGCGUGCUUAACACAUGCAAGUCGAACGGUGAACGAGGGAGCUUGCUCCCUCCGGAUCAGUGGCGAACGGGUGAGUAACACGUGAGCAAUCUGCCCUGGACUCUGGGAUAAGCGUUGGAAACGACGUCUAAUACCGGAUACGAGACGUGAAGGCAUCUUCAACGUCUGGAAAGAACUUCGGUCCAGGAUGAGCUCGCGGCCUAUCAGGUAGUUGGUGAGGUAACGGCUCACCAAGCCUACGACGGGUAGCCGGCCUGAGAGGGUGACCGGCCACACUGGGACUGAGACACGGCCCAGACUCCGACGGGAGGCAGCAGUGGGGAAUAUUGCACAAUGGGCGCAAGCCUGAUGCAGCAACGCCGCGUGAGGGACGACGGCCUUCGGGUUGUAAACCUCUUUUAGCAGGGAAGAAGCGAAAGUGACGGUACCUGCAGAAAAAGCACCGGCUAACUACGUGCCAGCCGCCGCGGUAA